rnacentral:tRNA from 1 species
UCCCUGGUGGCUCAGAGGUUAAAGUGUCUGCCUCCAAUGCAGGAGACCCGGGUUUGAUCCCUGGGUCGGGAA